rnacentral:lncRNA from 1 species
CAGGGAUGAGGCCAUUUUUAAUUUUUCUUCAACAGUGGAGAAAUUUAAGGCCCACAAGACCCGGUUCAGAACUGACUAGGAUGUCUUAGAAUUCCUGAAGCUACCAGCAAGGGAAAAGAAUCCUCCCAGUUCUCCAUUCUGAGUUCCAGGGCUCUUUGUAGGGCAUGGAGUCAGUGGAGGUGGUCUUAGGCCAUUUGAGCUGCAGCCCAGCUGUGAAGGCCUUCAGGACAGGGAAUGUGUUUCUCAGUCUUUCCCAUUCCCCCCCCAACCCCAACACAUCUAAGCACCCUGUCUGGCAAAGAGAAGGCAGGCCCUCGGUGGAUGUUUGCUGACCUGGAACCAAGAUUAGCGAGCUUUUCUGACUUCUGGCCUAGGGCAUUUCUAUCUACUACCUGGGACUUAACGAAAGCCAGGACUCUAAGUUUCCUCAGUGAUAUAGGAUCAGAUAUGUCAGCUGGAGGGGUCUUCCAGAGGUCAUUUCUCCAUCCGCCGUCCACACCGACAGCGCCUGCAUCGGGCAAGGCCCG